GGGGAUUUAGCUCAGCGGCAUAAGCGCCUGCCUUGAAAGCAGGCAGUCCUGAGUUCGAUCCCCG
rnacentral:tRNA from 1 species